rnacentral:ncRNA from 2 species
UUAAACCACUGGAAGUGCCUUGAUAAAGGCUGAGAUUAAAGUGAUACCUUUAAAAUUCCUUGAACCUGAUCCAGCUUAUACUGGCGUAGGAAAGUGGCGUAUUGAUUUU